rnacentral:rRNA from 1 species
UACGUAGGGUGCGAGCGUUGUCCGGAAUUAUUGGGCGUAAAGAGCUCGUAGGCGGUUUGUCACGUCUGCUGUGAAAUCCCGAGGCUCAACCUCGGGCCUGCAGUGGGUACGGGCAGACUGGAGUGCGGUAGGGGGAGACUGGAAUUCCUGGUGUAGCGGUGAAAUGCGCAGAUAUCAGGAGGAACACCGGUGGCGAAGGCGGGUCUCUGGGCCGAUACUGACGCUGAGGAGCGAAAGCGUGGGGAGCGAACAGG